GUCUACGGCCAUACCACCCUGAACACGCCCGAUCUCAUCUGAUCUUGUCAGCUAAGCCGGGCCGGGCCUGGUUAGUACUUGGAUGGGAGAGAGAACAAGAACACUUCGUGAGCAUCUACU
rnacentral:rRNA from 1 species